UACGUAGGGCGCAAGCGUUGUCCGGAAUUAUUGGGCGUAAAGAGCUCGUAGGUGGCGUGUCGCGUCUGCCGUGAAAGCCCAUGGCUUAACUGUGGGCUUGCGGUCGAUACUGGAUGGCUAGAGUCUGGUAGGGGGAUCUGGAAUUCCUGGUGUAGCGGUGGAAUGCGCAGAUAUCAGGAAGAACACCCGUGGCGAAGGCGGUUCUCUGGGACGGUACUGACGCUGAGACGCGAAAGCGUGGGGAGCGAACAGG
rnacentral:rRNA from 1 species